CAAACCCCUGUGAACAUACCACUUGUUGCCUCGGCGGAUCAGCCCGCUCCCGGUAAAACGGGACGGCCCGCCAGAGGACCCCUAAACUCUGUUUCUAUAUGUAACUUCUGAGUAAAACCAUAAAUAAAUCAAAACUUUCAACAACGGAUCUCUUGGUUCUGGCAUCGAUGAAGAACGCAGCAAAAUGCGAUAAGUAAUGUGAAUUGCAGAAUUCAGUGAAUCAUCGAAUCUUUGAACGCACAUUGCGCCCGCCAGUAUUCUGGCGGGCAUGCCUGUUCGAGCGUCAUUUCAACCCUCAAGCACAGCUUGGUGUUGGGACUCGCGUUAAUUCGCGUUCCUCAAAUUGAUUGGCGGUCACGUCGAGCUUCCAUAGCGUAGUAGUAAAACCCUCGUUACUGGUAAUCGUCGCGGCCACGCCGUUAAACCCCAACUUCUGAAUGUUGACCUCGGAUCAGGUAGGAAUACCCGCUGAACUUAAGCAUAUCAA
rnacentral:rRNA from 1 species